rnacentral:rRNA from 1 species
UACGAAGGGGGCUAGCGUCGUUCGGAAUUACUGGGCGUAAAGCGCGCGCAGGCGGUUCUUCAAGUCAGAGGUGAAAGCCCAGAGCUCAACUCUGGAAUGGCCUUUGAGACUAGAGAACUAGGGUACGGGAGAGGUGAGUGGAAUUCCGAGUGUAGAGGUGAAAUUCGUAGAUAUUCGGAAGAACACCAGUGGCGAAGGCGGCUCACUGGCCCGUUACCGACGCUCAGGCGCGACAGCGUGGGGAGCAAACAGG